GAGUUUGAUUCUGGCUCAGGAUGAACGCACAAGACGUGCCUAACACAUGCAAAUCGAAUGAAAACAAUUUAAUUAAAUUGUUUUCAUGGUGAACGGGUGAGUAACACAUAAGAAUCAGCUUUUAGAUAAGGCAUAAAAGAGUAAUAUCUUGGUAAUUCCUUAUAUGCGCAGCAGUGCUUAAAAAGGGGACUCCCGUCUAAAAACGAGCUUAUGCCUGAUUAGCUAGUUGGCGAGUUAAAAGCUCACCAAGGCGAAGAUCAGUAGCUGGCCUGAGAGGGCGGCCAGCCACAUUGGGACUGAGACACGGCCCAAACUCCUACGGGAGGCAGCAGUGGGGAAUCUUCUGCAAUGGGCGCAAGCCUGACAGAGCGGCGUCAUGUGAAGGAAGAAGGCCUGAAAUAGGUUGUAAACUUCUUUUACUGAGUAAUGAAUACUGACAACGCAGUAAAAGAGUAUCGGCUAACUCCGUGCCAGCAGCCGCGGUAAUACGGGGGAUGCAAGCGUUAUCCGGAAUCACUGGGCGUAAAGCGUCUGUAGGUGGUUUAGUGUGUUCUUAGUUAAAUUAUGAAGCCUAACUUCAUGAAAAGUAAGAAAACUAUUAGACUUGAGUACGAUAGGGGUAAGAGGAAUUCUUCGAGAAGUAGUGAAAUGCGAAGAUACGAAGGAGAAGAUCAUAAGCGAAGGCUUCUUACUGGGUCGUAACUGACACUGAGAGACGAAAGCUAGGGGAGCGAAUGGGAUUAGAUACCCCAGUAGUCCUAGCUGUAAACGAUGGAUAUUCGGUGCCGGAUUUUAUUAGAACAUUUCGGUACCCUAGCUAACGCGUUAAAUAUCCCGCCUGAGGAGUACGCUCGCAAGGGUGAAACUCAAAGGAAUUGACGGGGGCUCGCACAAGCGGUGGAGCAUGUGGUUUAAUUCGAUGCAAAGCGAAGAACCUUACCAGGGCUUGACAGUAUGUAUAAAAGUCUUAACGGACU
rnacentral:rRNA from 1 species